rnacentral:snRNA from 1 species
AAUUUUGGAAGAGGAAAUACCAUGAUCACAAAGGUAGUUUUCCCAGGGCAAACCUCACCCAAUCCAGUCUGGAUGUGCUAACUAACCCCUGUGAUUUCCCCAAAUGCAGGAAACUGCAUAAUUUGUGAUAGCGAGGGACUAUGUUCUUGCUCUACCCUGA